rfam:Avian leukosis virus - RSA, complete genome.
AUUCCCUGACGACUACGAGCACCUGCAUGAAGCAGAAGGCUUCAUUUGGUGACCCCGACGUGAUAGUUAGGGAAU